GUAGUCUCGCACAGAUGCAUAUCAAUAAGCGGAGGAAAAGAAACUAACAAGGAUUCCCCUAGUAACGGCGAGUGAAGCGGGAAGAGCUCAAAUUUGAAAUCUUAAAGGGUUUCCCUUUACGAAUUGUAGUUUAAAGAAGUGUUUUCUGUUGAGGUUUUGGUAAAAGUUCUUUGGAAUAGGACAUCAUAGAGGGUGAGAAUCCCGUAUUUGACCUUUACUUUCAACUUUGUGAUACACUUUCAAAGAGUCGGAUUGUUUGGGAAUGCAGUCCAAAAUGGGUGGUAAAUUUCAUCUAAAGCUAAAUAUUGGCGAGAGACCGAUAGCGAACAAGUACCGUGAGGGAAAGAUGAAAAGAACUUUGAAAAGAGAGUUAAACAGUACGUGAAAUUGUCAAAAGGGAAGCGUUUGACACCAGUGUUGUUUUUCUGAAAAUCAAUUAAAGAACUGUUUAUGCUAAGCUGUUUAGACUUUAUCAGCUAUCUGUUUAGUUUUGAGCUUUUCUUUAAUGCACUUUUCAGUUAACAAGUCAACAUCAAUUUCUUUUGCUGUAAAAAAGCUUGAGGAAGGUGGCUUGAGAUUCGUCUUAAGUGUUUAUAGCCUCUUGCCUAUGCAGUCGGAGAGAUUGAGGUCUGCAGCGUAGAUCCUUCGGGGCUAAAUGCAUUUGUGCUAAGUUAUAGCAUUUUAUAGACAACUUGUUGACUAUGAUUUGUCUUGUAGCUUACUCGCUUAUGUUAUUUUACCUACGCUUAGGAUGUUGACAGCAGUAUAGACUGU
rnacentral:rRNA from 1 species